UNUGGCUUAACUGGGGGCUUGCGGUGGGUACGGGCCGGCUUGAGUGCGGUAGGGGAGACUGGAACUNCUGGUGUAGCGGUGGAAUGCGCAGAUAUCAGGAAGAACACCGGUGGCGAAGGCGGGUCUCUGGNCCGUUACUGACGCUGAGGAGCGGAAGCGUGGGGAGCGAACAGGAUUAGAUACCCUGGUAGUCCACGCCGUAAACGUUGGGCACUAGGUGUGGGGGACCUUUUCCGGGUCUUCCGCGCCGUAGCUAACGCAUUAAGUGCCCCGCCUGGGGAGUACGGCCGCAAGGCUAAAACUCAAAGGAAUUGACGGGGGCCCGCACAAGCGGCGGAGCAUGCGGAUUAAUUCGAUGCAACGCGAAGAACCUUACCAAGGCUUGACAUGUGCCGGUCGGCUCCGGAGACGGGGCUUCCUCCUUGUGGGGCCGGUUCACAGGUGGUGCAUGGUUGUCGUCAGCUCGUGUCGUGAGAUGUUGGGUUAAGUCCCGCAACGAGCGCAACCCUUGUCCCGUGUUGCCAGCACGUUGUGGUGGGGACUCGCGGGAGACUGCCGGGGUCAACUCGGAGGAAGGUGGGGAUGACGUCAAAUCAUCAUGCCCCUUAUGUCUUGGGCUUCACGCAUGCUACAAUGGCCGGUACAGAGGGCUGCGAUACCGUGAGGUGGAGCGAAUCCCUUAAAGCCGGUCUCAGUUCGGAUUGGGGUCUGCAACUCGACCCCAUGAAGUCGGAGUCGCUAGUAAUCGCAGAUCAGCAACGCUGCGGUGAAUACGUUCCCGGGCCUUGUACACACCGCCCGUCAAGUCACGAAAGUUGGUAACACCCGAAGCCGNU
rnacentral:rRNA from 1 species